rnacentral:rRNA from 1 species
CAGUAGCCGCGGGAAUACGUAGGGUGCAAGCGUUAAUCGGAAUUACUGGGCGUAAAGCGUGCGCAGGCGGUUUGUUAGGACAGAUGUGAAAUCCCCGGGCUCAACCUGGGAACUGCAUUUGUGACUGGCAAGCUAGAGUGUGGCAGAGGGGGGUGGAAUUCCGCGUGUAGCAGUGAAAUGCGUAGAUAUGCGGAGGAACACCGAUGGCGAAGGCAGCCCCCUGGGCCAACACUGACGCUCAUGCACGAAAGCGUGGGGAGCAAAUAGGAUUAGAUACCCCAGUAGUCCCUGUCUCUUAUAA